CACACAUGUGCCAGCACAGGACCACCAGUGUGUCUGGAACUGGCCUUCUGCUGUCCCAUGUGUGGG
ensembl:miRNA